rnacentral:lncRNA from 1 species
UUCAUCCCCAGCGUAGUUAUAAAAACAAAGUAAAAAGUCCGAAGAAUGCAAUUAAAAUGAUGGUACCGUAAUCGUAAAAACGUUAUCUAAGCUGAUAAUAUUUUUAAUAAAGAAAAAAUUAUGGAAGUCAGCAAUUUCUUUUCGUUACUAACCUAGCUUGGCUUCAGGAGUCACCAAUAAUUUAACUUCAAACAGUCCAAACACAGCACCAUUUUUUAUAUUUUAAUUUUCUGACUGUAUUAAUGUUAAACUACAAUUCGCAUAUGUCCACUCAACAUGCUAUCAUGAUUAUUCAUUUUCCACUUUGAUUUCUUUCGAUAAAAGAAUUGGCAAAAUAAUUGACGUUACAACAAUCGUAAUGAGAUAGCUCGUUAUACCGAAUUUUUAAGCAUUGCUAACUCCUCGCUUCAUACGAUACGUAUGCUGCUCCGUAUCAUCAGUAAGAAUUCACUAUGCUAGACAUUACUGUUUCAAAUAUACUCCAACCUAAUUAAAUUGCUUUUCUGAUGGUUUGCAUGCUGCUUAAUACACUUUAUCUGAAAAUAUAAUUUACAACGAAUAACGUUGCAUCUCAAAACCCUCGUGCACUUACUUUAUGACUAGUCAAUAACAAAUCAUAAAUCAGUGGAAGAAUAUAAUCUUAGUUAUAAUGGUAAUAAUAAACUUGAUCAGUUUAUGACUAAUUUUUUGCUACUCUAUUUCUCUGUCUACGUACGCCAGUUGCUCA